GUGUGGGGGGAGUCUCAUCACCCUCACCUUUUUAAAUAGCAUUUACUUUAAAAAGAUGUAAAUAGAAAACCUUUCUCUGGGAAAAGCUGAAGAAACUUCUCAACAAUUUUACGUCCCAGGAAUGUUUUCGUUCGGAUAAAGCUAUCACAGAGGACCACCCCAGUGAGCGUGCGCAGUUAGGAAGAAAUAGGUGUGACAAAUGGACACAUGACAUCCUCUUCCUUGCAGACUAGUUCUCUUUCCUCUUGAGAAAAUGGACAGAAUGUGUUGUAUCAGCUUGGUGACAUAGAAGAGGAACGUUUCUUUUCGACUUUGCUUUUGCUUACUGAGCAAUAAAACUUUGUUCUUUCCUCCAUGAUCAUGGCCAAUACUGUCUGAGCCCCGUGACCCGGGACAGCAGUGAACGUCAGGAAGUCCACCUCCUUUGAAUUCCAGGAAACAGCUCACCUCAAAGGUCCAUUCUCCGUAUGAGUUAGAAAUAAGAGUGCUCUGGUCCAAGAAGGUGAUGGAGGAAGACGCUGAAGUCCCCUCCUCCAUGGAGAUACCAAAUCUACACCUAUUUAUAGAACAAUUCCUUCUGGAGCCGAACUAAGUGCUGACUGAACACCUUCUGCAGAACGGAAGACAGGCCAUGAGGAGAAUGGCAAGAGAGAUGAAAAGAAGGACUUCACUCCUUCAGGUCUCCGCAUGGGCUCUCAGGCCCCAUAAGAACUCAGAGCAUGGAGGAUGUCCAUCUGGCGCCUGGUGGUCCUGGGGUACUUUUCCUGCAUCAAAUGUCUGGUCAUGAGCUUCCUGGCCUCCCACAGGUGAAGAGUUUCCUCCCAGCCUACAGCGCCAUUAUGUUCAGGAAUUCUUCAAUCUAUUCCUCAGGGGAGCGGUAGCCCUUCCUGGUCACGCCCAGGAGAGUCUUCUAGAGACCAGUCUCGGGCAGUUGCUGCCACCAUUUAAGCUCCCGUCACUGGAGACACCCAGUUUGCUGACAAGGCCAUAGAAAUGCUUGGCAGAGUGCAUGUCUUUGAACUUAAGGCAAAAGACUACCUGCCAAGUGUUCAGAGGCAUUCUAGAAGGCCACAAAGAAGAGUUCUUUGUAUUCUUUUCAGCAUGUCCUUCGUCAUGACUGUUCAUUUUAUAUUUGAGCAAGAGGGACUAUACCAACAACGUUACCUUCUUGCUGGGAAGGUCUCGGCGUGACUAUGCACACCGACAUCUACCAGUCAUGUGUGUCUGCGAGCACGCAUCCAUGCUCAAGGGUUACUGAAAAGAAAUACUGGCCUUACAAUGUGAUUUACUGUGAUAUUUGAUAAUUCGAAGCCAUACACUAAAUUCAAAUAAUAAUAAAGGCUCGUACU